AUGGGGCUUGCAUGGGGAGGUGUGGGGCUGGGAUGGAAGAUGUGGGGCUGGGAUGUGGGGUAUUGAGGGGCAGAGCUCCAGUCCUGCACUACCAUAGAGUCCAGACCUCCAGAACCACUGAGUGCAGACCUUCUAGCUGCUCACUACCAUAGAUUCCAAGCCUCCCAAUCUCCCAGCCCGAUCCUACCAUAGAGUCCGGACCUCCAGCCCUGCUCUACCAUAGAGUGCAGACCUCCAGCACCAUAGAGUCCAGACCUCCAGCUCCACAGCUCCCAGCCCCACACUACCACAGAUUCCAGACCUCCAGCACCAUAUUGUGCAAACCUCCAGCUCCCAGCCCCACACUACCAUAGAGCCCGGACCUCCAGCCCCACACCUCCCCACACAUUUCCCCCCCCCUCUCCCGCAGGCUUCACGACGGCCGCGUACCUCCGUGUCCACGCAGCCAAGGACCACGGCAGCACGCAGCCCCACGGCGCCCGGUCGCUGCGCUGCCGCCUCUGCGGCGUCCAUUGCGCCACGGCCGCCCAAUUGCGAGGCCACCUGCAGACCCACGGCCCCGCCCACGACGCUUCCGGUCCCGCCCACGGCACUUCCGGUCCCGCCCACGACGCUUCCGGUCCCGUCGCCGCGGCUUCCGGCCCCGCCCACUGCGAAGGGGGAGGAGCGGCGGAGUUGGGGUGAAACGGCGGAGGUUUGGGGCAGCGCUGCCCUACAGCCGCCCCAUGGAUCCUCCCCACCCCUAUGGGGCACACGGAGUGGGGGGGGGGGGCACAGUGCAGCUGGGGGGGGCUGCCCCAUAGAUCCAGGUCGGUGCCCUAUAGAUGUGUGGGGCUGCCCCAUAUAUCUGGUUCGGCCCCCCCCCAUAGAUUCAGAUUGUCACCCAUAUAUAUGUGGGGCUGCCCCAUAGAUGUGUUACAUGAAUUCAGGGGGGCUGCCCUAUAGAUCUGGAUUGGCGCCCCAUAGAUGUGUGGGGCUGCCCCAUAGAUGUUGAUCAGCGCCCCAUAGAUCUGGAUCGACGCCCCGUAGACACCAGUGACACCAGUUCUGUAGGGCUGCCCCAUAGAUCGCUGUCCCAUCCCCAUAGAUCUAUGGGGCUGCCCCAUAGCACUCCCAGAAGCCCCUCCCACGGGUGUUCCGAAAGCCCCGCCUACUUUUAAGCCCCGCCCCUUUUUAAGCCCCGCCCCCCUCAAUAAAACCGCGCUGCAGCGCCUCCCCGGGAGAGAAAAAAAAACCGGAACACGGCAA